UACGGGGGGGGCAAGCGUUGUUCGGAAUUACUGGGCGUAAAGGGCUCGUAGGUGGCCAACUAAGUCAGACGUGAAAUCCCUCGGCUUAACCGGGGAACUGCGUCUGAUACUGGAUGGCUUGAGUUCGGGAGAGGGAUGCGGAAUUCCAGGUGUAGCGGUGAAAUGCGUAGAUAUCAGGAGGAACACCGGUGGCGAAGGCGGAUCUCUGGGCCUUACCUGACGCUCAGGUGCGACAGCGUGGGGAUCAAACAGG
rnacentral:rRNA from 1 species